rnacentral:rRNA from 1 species
CAGUCGCCGCGGUAAUACAGAGGGUGCGAGCGUUAAUCGGAUUUACUGGGCGUAAAGCGUGCGUAGGCGGCUUUUUAAGUCGGAUGUGAAAUCCCUGAGCUUAACUUAGGAAUUGCAUUCGAUACUGGGAAGCUAGAGUAUGGGAGAGGAUGGUAGAAUUCCAGGUGUAGCGGUGAAAUGCGUAGAGAUCUGGAGGAAUACCGAUGGCGAAGGCAGCCAUCUGGCCUAAUACUGACGCUGAGGUACGAAAGCAUGGGGAGCAAACAGGAUUAGAUACCCGGGUAGUCCAUGUCUCUUAUAA